rnacentral:rRNA from 1 species
GACGAACGCUGGCGGCGUGCUUAACACAUGCACGUCGAACGGUAAGGCCCUUCGGGGUACACGAGUGGCGAACGUGUGAGUAACACGUGGGUGAUCUGCCCUGCACUUCGGGAUAAGCCUGGGAAACUGGGUCUAAUACCGGAUAGGACCACUGCCUGCAUGGGUGGUGGUGGAAAGCUUUGGCGGUGUGGGGUGGGCCCGCGGCCUAUCAGCGCGUUGGUGGGGUGAUGGCCUACCAAGGGGACGACGGGUAGCCGGCCUGAGAGGGUGACCGGCCACACUGGGGCUGAGAUACGGCCCAGCCUCCUGCGGGAGGCAGCAGUGGGGAAUAUUGCACAAUGUGCGCAAGCCUGAUGCAGCCACGCCGCGUGAGGCACGACCGCCUUCGGGUUGUAAACCUCUUUUAGUAGGGAAGAAGCGAAAGUGACGGUACCUGCAGAAAAAGCACCGGCUAACUACGUGCCAGCCGCCGCAGUAA